rnacentral:snRNA from 1 species
AGAUGCGCCUACCCCGCCUAAAU